rnacentral:rRNA from 1 species
GACGAACGCUGGCGGCGUGCCUAAUACAUGCAAGUUGAGCGCUGAAGGUUGGUACUUGUACCGACUGGAUGAGCAGCGAACGGGUGAGUAACGCGUGGGGAAUCUGCCUUUGAGCGGGGGACAACAUUUGGAAACGAAUGCUAAUACCGCAUAAAAACUUUAAACACAAGUUUUAAGUUUGAAAGAUGCAAUUGCAUCACUCAAAGAUGAUCCCGCGUUGUAUUAGCUAGUUGGUGAGGUAAAGGCUCACCAAGGCGAUGAUACAUAGCCGACCUGAGAGGGUGAUCGGCCACAUUGGGACUGAGACACGGCCCAAACUCCUACGGGAGGCAGCAGUAGGGAAUCUUCGGCAAUGGACGAAAGUCUGACCGAGCAACGCCGCGGGAGUGAAGAAGGGUGUCGGAUCGUAAAACUCUGUUGGUAGAGAAGAACGUUGGUGAGAGUGGAAAGCUCAUCAAGUGACGGUAACUACCCAGAAAGGGACGGCUAACUACGUG